AUGGCACUGGUCGAUGUAUGGAAAUAAGUAAUACUUACAGGUCCAUCUCGCGAGUUGAUCUGGCCCUCGCCACCCCCGGGCUUAUCAAUAGGGUUAAAAAAUGAACUAUGAAAGUCAUGGUAUCUCCGAUCACGCCCCGGUUACGGUGAUAUUUGACAGCCAUAAAAAAAAUUAAACAAAAAUAGGAAUUUUAAACUUAACCCCCUCCGGAUGACAUUGAUAAGAUUACCUCAGCUCGUAUACACAUGGUUUGGGACUCACUCAAGGCGUAUCUCCGAGGUAAAUACUCACAGAAAAUUAGGAAACAGAAGAAUCUUUUUGCCCAAACUCAAAAAGAAAUAGAAGGGACGCUCAACCAGAUAACAAAUGGGAUCACUCGGGUAAACACCACUUGGGGCAGAGGACCUUUAAUGAAUCCGGUAAACCAAGUAGAUUGUUAUCCACAAUAGUAAAAAAUCAAAGGGGGAGUAAUAAUAUCAUGGGAAUUAGGACAGAGGCAGGAGAUAUUCUAUGAGACCCUGAAGAUAUCUUAGGGGAAUUUACUCAAUCUUUCUCCAUGUUCUACCAGGCCGGGCCCAUAGAGCAGGAUCAAUACCUAGACAAUAUUAAUAUCCCGGAGUAUUGAUUGGCUGAUCAGACCGAUCCAGCUGAGCGAGUUACAAACUACUCUGACGUCUAUUAGGGCACUACGUCCCCAGGGCUGGACGGUUUCCCAUUCGAACUAAACCGGAAACAUGAAGUAGUAAACCAGUCAUGGAUAUUUGGUUCUUUACCCCCCUCAUGGAUGGGAGCUAACACUUAGUCUUCAUCUUCACAUUGUUACACAAUACACAUAUUAAACAUUUCUUGAAAAAUGUUCUCAUUUGUAUUUUUUGUAUACAUACAGAAGUAAAUAUAUCGCACAUGCUUCAAAUUAUAUCGCAAUUUAGAUUUUAGGCCAUAUCGCCCACCACUACCUUUCACCCAUUCAUCUCCAGAGCAGAGAGAGCACCAUAGCAGACACCCACGGCUAAUGUCCUCGAUCGCCUGUAAUGCCGACCACUGACGUUUAAAACCUGGAAGCGCGCGCUUUUCUCUGGGUGGAGAUUGGGGAAGGCGUUCCAUGUAAGUUAUAAGCCGAGCCUCCGCUAGGCUUCCAGGUUGGCACCAGCAGGUGGCAGCGCUGAAUUGUUUUAUACUCAUCUCUAUAUAGGAUCAUGGAGAAAACUCAAUUUUUCUAUACCAAUUGGAAUCUAAUAAUUGCAAUUUGCAAGUCCAGAUGGGGACAUAAAAAGUAAAAAAACAAAAAGGCCAUACUUCUGAAAUCUCAGAAAAAAUGUAUCUCAUACAGUGAAUUUAUCUCCCGGGGAAAAAAACUUAAUAAAACAUGAUCAAAAAGCUAUAUGCACCCGAAAAUGGUAUUCACAAAAACUACAGAUCUUCCUGCCAAAAAUGAGUCACCCACGUCUCAGGCAUUAGAAAGUACAACUUGUCCUGCCAAAAACAAGCCCUCCUACGGCUAUGUGAAGAGAAGAAUAAAAAGUUAUGGCUCCAGGAAGACGGGGCAGUUCUUAUAAGAACUAUAUUCUGAGAGACCACCAGAAGAUUCCCUGCCGAUGGCGUGCAGCACCUGCCCCAGUCAUUUUCCUUGGGCAACUCUUCAGGGCUUAUCUUUUACCCUGACAUGUCUCAGAUCUGUAGGAAAUGCAGCAAGAAGGGUCCCAGCAUGAAGGACUACAUAGAGGCCGCCUGCAGGAUUUGUCGUGUGGCAGGGCAUGUGUCCAAGGACUGUGCGAAGAUGACCACCUGCAACCCAUCUAUACAAGGAGGGACAGGACCUACACAUCUGUGGCAGCCAAGGGUUCGGCAAAGCCCCCACAGGCUCCAGCCCCAGUGGCCAAGAAGGAGGUUUUCUUUCAGGUGAAAGGUCAACAAGCAUGUGAGCGGAAAAGGGACUUCAGGGAUCUGCAGAGACGGCGGCGCUCCAUGCAGGACCUCCACUAGUGCGACUAGGACGUCAGGGAUGACCUGGAGGAGACCAAGAAGGGCUUGGAAAGACAGUUUGAGAAGAAAUCCAAGCGCAUCAUCUUCCGUUCCAAAACAGAGCACCUGGAGAAGGGUGAGAAAUGUAACUCUCUUUUUCAGGAAGCUCCACGUCGGCCACACGCACCUGACUGAGCUCCGAGACUAGACCAAAAACAUCACCACGGGGAAUAAGGGAGUGAUGGGAGUCGUCAGCGAUAACUACAGUAAGCUCUACUCCUCGAAGACCACCGACUUGGGUUCCUGUCGCGUAUCGCUAACACCCUUGAUCCUGUAGGCGCAGUGGCGAUGGACGCUCCCUUGACGGUGGAGGAGCGGCACUCUGCCGCAGAACCCCGAGCAGUGAUGGUCUCCCAGCAGAGAUCUAUGUAGGGCUGUGGGACCUCAUUGGCCCGAACCUGUUGGAGCUGUACGAGGAGAUGGUGGUGGAGGGAAGAAUGCCUCUGUCUUUGAGGGAGGGAAUGAUCAUGGUCUUGUAUAGGCAGAAGUGGGAGACACGGGUUUUUAAGAACUGGCAUUCCAUCUCUCUUCUGAAUGUGGACUACAGGACCCUCGCCAAGGUACUAGCCAGCUGGCUGAAGGCUGUCAUCGGACGGAUCAUCCAACCGGACCAGACCUGCGGCAUUCCUGGCCGCAAGAUCACAUCGCAAUACGUCAAAGCCGGCCGCAUGUCCGUGGUCCUGGUCAGCCUCGACGGGAAAAGCCAUUUGAUUGUGUUUCAUAUGUCUUCAUGGGCAAGGUCCUGUGAAGGUUUGGGCUGCGGGAAAUGUUCUGCUCCUAUGUUCACCUGAUGUACCUUGACAUCUCUGGGGUCAGACAAGGCUGCCGUCUUUCACCUCUUCUUUCUGUUUGUGUUAUAGAGCUGCUCCGAGUCUGUCCGGCAAAAUCCAGAGGUCAGAGGGAUCACCGCACCAGACCGACGAAUGGUAAACUGCUCGCUGUACAUGGACGACGUGACCGUCUUCUGCGCUGACAGGUGUUCGGUGACGGCGCUCGUCCAGAACUACAAGGAAUUCGGCCGGGCUUCGGGAGCAAAGGUCAACUGUGGGAAGUCGGAAGCCAUGCUGUUCGAGGAGCAGGCCCUGACUUCCUUCUCCAUCCAGUCGGACUUCAUCAAUAUCUGGGAAGUCUGGUUCAGGAAGGAAGGAGCAGCCCUGAAGUCCUGGCAAGAUCGUAUGGCAAAAGUCAAUCAAAAGAUCGGACUGUGGGGCCCCAGACAACUCGCCAUCGAAGGGAAGACUCUCCUGCUGUGGAACGAGGUCCUGCCGGUUCUUCAGCACAUGGAGCAAGCCUGGCUUCCUCACAUCACCGUGCAGUAGGCCAUUACGAGGACUGUCUUCUGCUUCAACUGGGGCUCUAAAAUGGACAGAGUAAAAUGGCCAGUCAUGUACAUAGAGCCCCACAAGGGUGGGAAAGGAGUUCCGGACAUCACGACCCUUCUGCGGGCAGCCAUUGUGUGCGACUGUGCCUGCAGGACUCUGACAGCAAAAGGACGAUGGCUCGGCGGGCCGGUCCAUGUCCCGUUUCUUUCUCCUGCCUCUCUGGAGGAGGCUAGGGUUGGGAAAAGUGGGACAGCUCCUACCCCGACAACUGGGACACCCCCUGGUACUAGCAGGACCUUCUUGAGUUUGUAAGAAAACACCAGCUGAAACCAAAGACUAUCCACAAGCUGAUCCGAGUAAAGGACUUAAUGGAGUUCGCCGCCACCGAUGAGACUGUUUGGAAGAACGUGGCUUCUAGCAGGUUAACACCAACGGGCACAAAGACCUGGCAUGGAUGGCCAUUCAGUGGGGCCUGCCCCUGAGAACUUUUAUGUAUGCCCGUUGGCUAUGCAACACCAGGUACUGCCCCGGGUGAACUUUCCAGGAAGAAACACCUUUGCACCUAUUUUGGCAGUGCCCGUUCGCCCAAGCCCUGUUGGAUGCCCUGGAAGAGCAGCCGGAAGGACACCGCCGUGGUUUACGGACUAUUCCAUAGGACCCAUACCGUUGAGGCGAUCAGGAGGCCUGAAGCCACAUGGACUGUUCUAAGGACGCUGUGUGGCUUGCCUGGAAACACCUAGUGAUGAGCUGAGAGGAUGUCCGUCCAGGACUGCGGCAGGCUGGUUCUCAGACUGCUCAGAGACUACUCCAUCAUGGACGGCCUGGAAGUCUACGAAGAAGAGGAUUAAAACCCCUCUCCUUCCCUCCUCUCCCCCGGUGUGUCUGUCUUUUAAUAAAGCUUCGGGCCUUUGACUCCCCUCCCUUUCCCUAUACCCCUCACCCAUCACUUGUGCUUCUCCAUCUGGUGCUUGUUGAUUGAUGUGUUCUAUUACAAUGGCAGUGUGCUGCUGUGUGUAGUGUACAGUACAGGAUCACUGCCUAUGCGCAGACUGUCCAGUGGGUGGCAGCAGGGAGCGGGUUAUUAUCAGGUAGAUGUAGAUACAGACUGUCCAGCGGGUGUCAGCAGAGAGCGGGU